GGAUGACUGAGGUUCCGUUCCUGUCUUUGAAAAGUUAGUCUUGGAGAAUUCAGAAACUAAGCAAACAGUUGCAGCACCAUGUGAAAAGGAAACUAAAACUCAGACAGACGUGACCUGCUUCCAGUUAUACCACAAGGUUGGCAGAAGGUGCUGCUUGUUGUUGCCACUCAGGGACCAAGGCUGACAGAGCAGUCACCACCUCCUUGCUGGCAGCUGCACCAGAAGGAAAGAGAGAGCAAUUACAUGCUCCAGAUUGGAAGUGACACACGCUGUCUCCUUUCACAGCUAAGUGGCCCAGACUAGCACCUGGAUUUACCUUGCUCAAGGGCCAGGAGUGCAAUUCUACCAUGUUCCCAGAAAUGGAAAGAACUGGAAAUAUUUAGCUAACAGCGUGAAACUUCACUACGAUGGAUGUUUGUUACAGUACUUGUCAUCCUUUUUUACAUGUUUGGAUUAUGCUUCAUAUUUUACACAAUGGGAAGAAAAGCCCUGGUUUUUAAAUCAGGAAGGGAGCAUGCCGAGGAGCACAGUGAUGGUGUCAGUGCCCUGCAGCUCUUCAGAGCCCACCUCUUUAUUUAGAGAUAUAUGAAGACUCUGAGGAACAAACAUCCUAGUCACACAGCAAAAUCCAGGAGUGGAAGUCAGUGAAAGCUCUGAGACCAGGGCUUAGCAGCUGUUUCCCAGGAUGAACACAAAGGCAUGGCCUGGAUAAUUGAAUUCAGGGACCCCGGCAAGGUGCCACCAGUUUCCCGGCCACCCUAUGCUGUUAUUUUACUAGAAUGUUUGUUAUAUCAAUUGUCUUCUCUUUGUUAAUAGCAUCCUUCUGAAGCAGUAUUAUUCCCUGUCCCUAUCCCCUACCCCAGCCACUCUCUCAACACACAAACGCGUACACACACACACUCACACACACACACACUCACACUCACACUUGAUGUAAUUACUCCUAUUCAGUGUUCAGAUUCAGCUUAAACCCAGUUUCUUCAAAUAACCCCUUUCUUAUCAUCAACACUCCCCUAAAACAAUUCCUCCUGUUCUGUGGUCUCUCACACCAUCUGUCUUUCCUUCUCAACACUAUCCCAGUUUGCAAGCAUCCAUUGAACUGUGGCCGUCUGAUGAGUCUUUGACCACCUUGAUGUUGGGGACUAUCCAUAUAUAUAUAUAUAUAUAUAUAUUUUUUUUUUUUUUUUUUUUUGAGACAGUUUUACUUUUGUUGUUCAGGCCAGAGUACAAUGGUGUGAUCUUGGCUCACCAUAACCUCCGCCUCCCGGGUUCAAGCGAUUCUCCUGCCUCAGCCUCCUGAGUUGCUGGGAUUACAGGCAUGCACCACCACACCUGGCUAAUUUUUUUUUUUUGUAUUUUUAGUAGAGGCAGGAUUUCUUCAUGUUGGUCAGGCUGGUCUCAAACUCCCAACCUCAGGUGAUCCACCUGCCUCGGCCUGCCAAAGUGCUGAAAUUACAGGUGUGAGCCAUUGCACCUGGCCCUAUUCGUACUUUUUAGCCUCCACUGUACCUCAACACUUUGCCCAGCACCUAGUGUAGAGGAAACAUGCAAUGAAGAGCUGAUGGGUCAACAGAAGAAUGAGCAACUAUUCAAGACUUCAGGAAUUCCUCUCUUGUGAGUGGGGCUUUCAAAGCUUCUUUCAACUGCUCAACAACUACCCAUCAUCUGCCAGCCACUCCCACUCUCUAUUUAUACCUGAUGUUUCUUGUACUUCCCUUCAGUGUGCUUGUAGUUUCUACAGCGCUGGUUUUCCUGUCCCAGAUUCUUUGUCUAUCAAAACACUCACUCUUCAAUGUCAGUCUAAAAGUAGCUCUGCAAUGUCUUCCUUGAAUUCUUCAUAGACUAUUAAAUAUCCUUUCCUCUGUUUUCCCACAGCAUCCUGUGCUCAGUGCUAUUGUGUGCCAGGGCUGAGAUCCUGGGUUAUUUAUCUCCAUAUCCCCCAAGAGGGCUCUGCCUGUAGGUAGUACUCAAAUAAUAUUGAGUGAAUAAAUCUAAGGAUCAAAGGUUUCCAUCAUGAGAUGCUGAGCUCCUUGACAGCAGGAACCCUCUAUUAACCCCUCUGGCACAGUGUGUUGCACAUAGUAGGUACUAAACUGUGAGUUGAAUCAAAUGCCAUCCUUUCCCAGAGAUGAUGUAAAGAGGCAAAGUAAUAUAUUGGAAAUAGUGUAAACUUUGAAAUCCUUCAGGUCUGUGUGGCCUUGGGAAAAUGACUGAACCUCACUGAGCCUCAUGUUCCCCAUCUGAGGAUAACACCACUGCCUAAGACAAUUGUGACAAGACAUAAAUGUUGAUGAGUCUGGCAUUGGCGUGGCACACAGGAGGUACCCAGGCUACAUCAGCUCCUUUUCUCUCUUCUUUCCUGAAGUCACAGAGAUUGUCCAGCAGAUGGGAAUGUCCAUGCCCAGUGGCUCAUGCUCAAACCCUUUCACCCUGACACAGUGCGGGGAGACAGGAAUAGGCUCGAAGGAUGACUCAGCUCCAGUGACUAAAGCAAGGAGGUGGUGGUGGUAGGAACGGGGUAGGGGCUAAAAAGGAAGUGAGUUAACACUAUAUCUGAUGAAGGAUGACUCCAAAAUAAAAAGGGGUUGGCCCUAGCUGGUUCCUGGCUCUGAAACGGUGCAAGUGAACAGGGGCCUGAGUGCUUCUCCAUGACUCCCUCCACCUCAUCUCGUGGGGAACUCCCUGCCUACCCAGGGAUGUCUUCCAGAACAAAUGCUGAGCAUUCUCUCUCCUCUGGAGGCUUUCAGACCAGGCACUAGAGCACACUUGAAUGCCACUUUUGAUGGAGUGUUUUUUUAAGAAGUAUCCCGUAUGACUGAGAUCAGCGUGCAUGGAUUCUAAUCCUGACAGCCACCUGGGCCUCUCUCCUCGACUCCAGACAAUCUUUUCCACCCACACCACCACUUUGAAAUCCCCAAAUAUUGCACAUGCAGCAAGGUUAGACCAGUCUUCCUGCCUGCAGGGUCACCCCAGUCCAUUUUCUAGACUGUGCACAGAAUGAUAUGUUCAAAACUAAUUUAUAAUUCUGCUAUCCCUCUGCUUAACAUCCUUCAAGGUUUUCCCAGUUUCUACGGAACAGUCUAGACUCCUUCAUCUGGUGUAUAAAGCCUUUCAUGAUCCAGCACCUCCUCAUCUUCUGGCUUUGCUUGCUGACCCCACCCCAUAAACUCAUACAUACAGAGACACACCCUACAUUUCAGCCAGCUUUCAAGAGUCCUUUUAUCAGAUCUCACACUUCCCACCCCUGGGUCUCUGAACAUGCCACUCCUUCUCACAGCGACACACUUCUCCACCUUGGGCAAGACUGCAUAUCUUUCCAGAUUGGGUUCAAAUGCUGUCUCUGCUGUGUGGGCCUCUCAGAUGUCCACUUGGCUCACCGAUUGGCAUUGUGACUUGUUUAUGCAUGCUUCUCUCCACUAGACUGACAGAUCCUUGAAGGCAGGUCCUUCCACAGAAUACCUACUCAACAAAUGUUUGUGGAAUACAUGAAAUAUCAAAAACAGGCACAAAGUAAUAAAUCAAGCAAUUUUUUCUCUGGUCUCCAGUGUUUUCAUCUAUAAAAUAUGUAUCUGAUCUAGGUGCCUUAAAACCUAGCAGCCUCAGAUUUUAUACUGUAUCAUUCUUCAAAUACACAUGUCACACUCCUGGCCCUCUAAGUAGUAGGAGAUAUUGCUGGGUUAUUUUUUCCCAAGGAGAGAGUGGAACUCUGGAUCCACUGACACUGCAGAAAGGCUGAUCUCAGAAGCUCAG
rnacentral:lncRNA from 10 species